UACGGGGGGGGCAAGCGUUGUUCGGAAUUACUGGGCGUAAAGGGCUCGUAGGCGGCCAACUAAGUCAGACGUGAAAUCCCUCGGCCUAACCGGGGAACUGCGUCUGAUACUGGAUGGCUUGAGGUUGGGAGAGGGAUGCGGAAUUCCAGGUGUAGCGGUGAAAUGCGUAGAUAUCUGGAGGAACACCGGUGGCGAAGGCGGCAUCCUGGACCAAUUCUGACGCUGAGGAGCGAAAGCCAGGGGAGCAAAGCGGG
rnacentral:rRNA from 1 species